CUCACUGAACCUAUGGCUGUGCUGGCACAGCACAUGUGGCACCCAUUGUGGGGCCCGAGUUUGGGGGAAUUGCAGUUGUCAGAUGUAAGGACGCUCCAGUGAAGCACAUGCAGAGAGCAAAAAGGAAGAAGGAGCAGCGCAGCCAAUCUGGGUGCCAGAGCGUUACAUGCAUCACCACAAUGAACCCAGAGCAGCUCCUUCUCCCUUCGUUCAAAAGACUGAGAGUUACCCUGAUGACAUCAAAGCGAAAAAGGAAGAUGAUGAAGGCUAUUUAAGGGGUUGAGGUAUCAACAUGGGGUCAGCUGAAGAAGUUAACAACUGAGGCCCAGCAGAUGGUAGAAAAGCAGGAAGUGGAAGCUACUCCCUCAACCAUGUUUCUGGCUAUGCUAGCACUGGUUAGCUGCCCAUCUUCAGUAAAGUCUUGCACAGCCAAGUCCAAGGACUCUGAGUAAAUCAGCAAAAGAAACUCAUUUAGUAGAAAAAUGUUUCUGUAGUUUAAUUUCUCUCUUAUUGCUGGGUUGCAUUGGCAUUGUUUUGUUAUUGUUUUAAUAGCCAGAGCUUUCUCCUUGAUGUUUAAGUUUUACUUUCAUUAUAGUAGUUUAAAAAUAA